rnacentral:rRNA from 1 species
ACGCUGGCGGCAGGCCUAACACAUGCAAGUCGAGCGGCAGCACGGGUACUUGUACCUGGUGGCGAGCGGCGGACGGGUGAGUAAUGCCUAGGAAUCUGCCUGGUAGUGGGGGAUAACGUUCGGAAACGGACGCUAAUACCGCAUACGUCCUACGGGAGAAAGUGGGGGAUCUUCGGACCUCACGCUAUCAGAUGAGCCUAGGUCGGAUUAGCUAGUUGGUGAGGUAAUGGCUCACCAAGGCGACGAUCCGUAACUGGUCUGAGAGGAUGAUCAGUCACACUGGAACUGAGACACGGUCCAGACUCCUACGGGAGGCAGCAGUGGGGAAUAUUGGACAAUGGGCGAAAGCCUGAUCCAGCCAUGCCGCGUGUGUGAAGAAGGUCUUCGGAUUGUAAAGCACUUUAAGUUGGGAGGAAGGGCAGUAAAUUAAUACUUUGCUGUUUUGACGUUACCGACAGAAUAAGCACCGGCUAACUCUGUGCCAGCAGCCGCGGUAAUACAGAGGGUGCAAGCGUUAAUCGGAAUUACUGGGCGUAAAGCGCGCGUAGGUGGUUUGUUAAGUUGAAUGUGAAAUCCCCGGGCUCAACCUGGGAACUGCAUCCAAAACUGGCAAGCUAGAGUAUGGUAGAGGGUGGUGGAAUUUCCUGUGUAGCGGUGAAAUGCGUAGAUAUAGGAAGGAACACCAGUGGCGAAGGCGACCACCUGGACUGAUACUGAGACUGAGGUGCGAAAGCGUGGGGAGCAAAC